rnacentral:lncRNA from 1 species
GAAACUAACUUAAAUGAUAUCGAAAAAGAUAUUUACAGUCAUAACAAUAAUGAAAAUGUGGAUGAAAAUAAUAGUACCACAUGUGGAAACAAAAACAAAGAUACUGAAGAAUGCACAAACCAGAAUUUCACUAAUCAAAUAAACUCGUCUUUAAAAAACAUAUCUGCAGGUUAAUUGAUUUGGGAUUUUAAUAAACGAUACACAAAUAAAUUGUAACAUGUGGUGGUAUAGUACUACACGUGUUUGCACGUCCUUACAUACGUUUACUUGUCCUUGCUUCUGUUUGCACAUACUCGCUCGAAUGUAAUUAAUCCUACUCGAACAUGUUUGUAUCAUUUUUCUUAUCGUACAGACCUUCUAAAUACAAACAAAGAGGAACUAAUAGCCAUGAUUGAAAAGCACAAAUACAAAAAUAGUAUCUCAGUACAUAUAUGUAUAAUCAAGCUAAUACUACAACAAAUAUCCAAAAAGUUUCUUUAUGAUAUAUACAAUCAAUACAACGAGUUUUAUAUUUAUAUUCACAGCAACAGCAUUUUAGAUAUGUAUAAUACAUUUGAGUACAAACGAAACAUAAUACUGUCCCACUUAGACUUUAUGAAGAGUUACAGUUCUCAAAUUGAGCAAAUUGCGGAAUUAAAAAAAUAUAUAAACAGUUAUAAGAUGUCAGAAACUGAUACAUGUUUGAAUAGGUUAAAUAAAAUCGAAAGCAAAAAUGAAUUACUUUUUUCAAAAAUUGCUACCAUCAACUCUUGCCUGGAAAAUGUAACAUAUAAGUAUGCUCUAAUGGUAAACUUCUAUGUGUACAUGCGUGCAUAUACAUGCAUACAUGCAUACAUGCAUACAUGCAUACAUGCAUACAUGCAUACAUACAUACAUACAUACAUAAAUAUAUAUAUAUACAUAUGCAGGUACAACUAGCUUCCUUAAUAAUAACAAAAAAUAGGACAAACAUAUCUUAAGUUAAACAAAAAAAAAAAAAAAAAAAAAUUAUUAAAAACAAAUAUUAAAAAAAAAAAAAAAAAAGUUAUUAAAAAAAAAAAAGGAUAAGGAAAGUUUUAAAAUGUUAUAAACACAAGCAUUUAUAUAUACACAUAUUAUAAGCAUAAGAUUUUUGGUACACAUAUUAUAUGCGUAUCAAAGUUUAUGCUGCGAAUGAUAAAACAUAAAAUGAGCAAUCAGUACAUAAAGCAAAUACAUAUAUUUUUAAUUAGUUAAUUUGCUUUUUUUUUUUUUUUUUUUUUUUUUUUUUUUUUUUUUUUUUUUUUUUUAUUUUUUUUUUUUUUUUUUUUUUUUUUUUUUUUUUUUUUUUUGUGUUAUUAAAAAUAAAAAAAAUAAAUAAAUGUCA